rnacentral:lncRNA from 1 species
GGGAGGUGCAUGCUAGGGUUUAUACCCUCAAACAGGGUUGUUAGGAGUUAGGAAACUUGUUAGGGGUUAAGAAAUCAUUAACUAUUCAUUACUUGCAUUUUGACUUUUAUUAAAUGAAGGAGAAAUACGUAAAUUUGGAGGUGUAGGGAGAAGGAGGUGAGGUGCAAGGAGCACUGCUCUUACGUGAGACAUAUCACCUUGAGGACAAGGUGAUUCUCCCAAGGAACAGUAAUGAUAGCAAUUCAAGCCCACAAGAAAAUUACAAUAAUACCAUCAGGCCCAAUGGGAAAGCUAAUUCAAAUAUAUCAAUAAGAACCCGUAGAUUAUCAAAAUAUUUAGUUGAUUAUAAAUUGUGAAGAAUGAAGGUGUUUGGGAAAGGGAAUAUUUUGUAUUAGUUAUCGGUUUGUUAAU